rnacentral:rRNA from 1 species
GGGUUGUGAGGUUAAGCGACUAAGCGUACACGGUGGAUGCCCUGGCAGUCAGAGGCGAUGAAGGACGUGCUAAUCUGCGAUAAGCGUCGGUAAGGUGAUAUGAACCGUUAUAACCGGCGAUUUCCGAAUGGGGAAACCCAGUGUGAUUCGUCACACUAUCAUUAACUGAAUCCAUAGGUUAAUGAGGCGAACCGGGGGAACUGAAACAUCUAAGUACCCCGAGGAAAAGAAAUCAACCGAGAUUCCCCCAGUAGCGGCGAGCGAACGGGGAGCAGCCCAGAGCCUGAAUCAGUGUGUGUGUUAGUGGAAGCGUCUGGAAAGGCGCGCGAUACAGGGUGACAGCCCCGUACACAAAAAUGCACAUGCUGUGAGCUCGAUGAGUAGGGCGG